rnacentral:rRNA from 1 species
AUUGAACGCUGGCGGCAGGCCUAACACAUGCAAGUCGAGCGAGCGGCGGACGGUUGAGUAAUGUCUGGGAAACUGCCUGAUGGCGGGGGAUAACUACUGGAAACGAUAGCUAAUACCGCAUAUCAUCAGCUUUGCCCAGUGGGGAUUAGCUGGUAGGUGGGGUAACGGCUCACCUAGGCGACGAUCCCUACCUGGUCUGAGAGGAUGACCAGCCACACUGGAACUGAGACACGGUCCAGACUCCUACGGGAGGCAGCAGUGGGGAAUAUUGCACAAUGGGCGCAAGCCUGAUGCAGCCAUGCCGCGUGAGUGAAGAAGGUCUUCGGGUUGUAAAGCACUGUCAGCGGGGAGGCGUUACCCGCAGAAGAAGCACCGGCUAACUACGUGCCAGCAGCCGCGGUAAUUC